AUACGUAGGGCGCGAGCGUUGUCCGGAUUUAUUGGGCGUAAAGAGCUCGUAGGCGGUUUGUCGCGUCUGCUGUGAAAUCCUCUGGCUUAACUGGGGGCGUGCAGUGGGUACGGGCAGACUGGAGUGCGGUAGGGGAGACUGGAAUUCCUGGUGUAGCGGUGGAAUGCGCAGAUAUCAGGAGGAACACCGGUGGCGAAGGCGGGUCUCUGGGCCGUUACUGACGCUGAGGAGCGAAAGCAUGGGGAGCGAACAGGAUUAGAUACCCUGGUAGUCCAUGCCGUAAACGUUGGGAACUAGGUAUGGGGUCCAUUCCACGGGUCCUGUGCCGUAGCUAACGCAUUAAGUUCCCCGCCUGGGGAGUACGGCCGCAUGGCUAAA
rnacentral:rRNA from 1 species